rnacentral:rRNA from 1 species
GACGUAGGGUGCGAGCGUUGUCCGGAUUUAUUGGGCGUAAAGAGCUCGUAGGCGGCUCGUCGCGUCGACCGUGAAAACCCGCGGCUUAACUGCGGGCUGCGGUUGAUACGGGCGGGCUAGAGUUCGGUAGGGGAGACUGGAAUCCUGGUGUAGCGGUGAAAUGCGCAGAUAUCAGGAGGAACACCGGUGGCGAAGGCGGGGUCUCUGGGGCCGAUACUGACGCUGAGGAGCGAAAGCGUGGGGAGCAAACAGG